rnacentral:lncRNA from 1 species
CAAUUUUGCCACUGCAAUAACAACAUACUGCCAUUUCUGCCAGCUGGUCAGAACUAAUAUAGAGGCUAAUGAUGGGUUACUCCAAUAAUUGUAUUUCUGUGAAUGAAUGUGGAGAGCAUUUUCUGAGUUGGAUCUACAGAAUAAAACAUCAUUUUAUUACUGUCUUACUGUCCUCCAAAUCCCUUCCAAUAGUAUUUGCUUUCUUGAACUACCCUAGUGUCACCUUAACUUCUCCACCAUUAAUGCAUGACUGUACUGCAUCUUAUCUGCUAAUCUUCGCUUUCUCCCCUUGUCAACACUGAUUGACAGCCUUUGGUGCAGGAAAGGUAUCAUUCCUAAAUUGUUUAAGUGCUUAAUGUGCCAUUGAUCUUUUCACAGAAUGUGAACACAGUCCAAAGCUCCAUGGAGCUAAGGGUCCACGUGGAGAUCCAUGCAGUCUUACAAGCUGGUCUUCUUUAUUUUGUUGAACAUCCCAUAGCAUAGAAAAAAAGAUGGCAGUAGCUCAGUAGCAGAGCACAUGGUUUCCAUGCAAAACAGCCCAGGUCCAACCCAUGGGAAAGUAUUGUAUAUCCUUCUGGGAAAGACUUAUGGGAAAGACCCAGGAACACUGGUGGUCAGUGAUAAAAGUACUGAGUUGGAUAAAUCAUUGGUCUUCCUCUGUUUCCUGUGUUCCUAUGUAAUGAGUCUGGUUCUCAAGAGUACAUGCAUAUAGCAGAAUUGCCUGGAUGGUAGGCUCUGGAGGAAGAGCACAGCAGUCUCCUGCAGGCAGAAUCUGUUGUUCUGCUUUGACUCUGUAUGCUUUGCCCAUUCAGAAUCAGCAUGUGACUUUUUCAAGGCAUGGCGAGAAGCAUUAUCAGUUGCUAAUGUCUGUACCACAAGCUGCUGAGUUGCAGGAACUGGUACAAACCUAUACUUUGUGGGUGAUCAGAUAGCAUUUAAAAGACCUUAAAACAUUCUUAAUUCUAAAAUAUUAAAAAAGAUAUGGGUGCAUAUUUCAUUUUCUUAAUAUCUCCCAAAUGCAUUUUUAAAUGUUUGAUUUAGCAGUGAUACAAUGCAUUUUAACUAGUUGAAUAAGUAAGGAACAAAAGGAUGCUUUAAGUGCAAUUUGCAAAAUCGACAAAUGAUAUACUAGCUUACCUUUGGUUAUAUUUUAUUAGGAUUCACAUCCAUGGUAAUUGUUUUCUUUCCUCAUACACUAAGUAGUAGUUUGAAUAAAUAUAUAGCGUAUUAGAAAUGCCAUUAAGCAAAUGAUUCUUCAUGGAAUUGUUGAAUGAAAGAAUGAAAUGAAUUCUUUUCUAAACACAGCACAAAUUUCCCCAAUUAUUUUUGAACUGAUUGUUCUGUAUUGUAGCCCAGGGGAGUACAAACAUGCUAUUUGUAUGGGCUGCACUCUUAUUUCUUCAGUCUGAUUGAAUUAAAGACUAGAAUAAUAAUUUAAUCAUCUACUUCUGAAGGUGAUCCACUACGACAGUGCAAUGUUUAUAUCUAAAACAGUGCUUCUCUCUUCUGACUUGGUGUUUAAAGGGUUUGUGUAUGAUGCUGAUGCCGAUGCUGAUGCUGAUGCAUGCUUUGAUUAUUAAGUUUUCAGUGUCUGUCAUUUGUUUUGGAAACCAUCCAUCCUUGCGUAUUGUCAUGAGAUAUAGCUCAUCAAUUGAAUGGCCAUUUCUGUCUUUACAAGAAACAUGAAACGAGUCAAGAAAAUAGAGGUAGCUGGUUGGUGUGAGUGUUCCUGUUGGAAUGACUAUGCAAAUUGCUGCUGCUAUUUUGACAUGGAUGUUUUUCUGUCUAACUGUCCACCAAUGGUGUUUUGUCAGAGAUGGUGCUUCCAUGUUGUUAUGUUGGCAGGAGCAGUGAGAAGCUGCCAGAUUUCUCUGCUUCUCAGCCCUUGUCCUUUUCCAAGCAUAUCCAGAAGGCAACAGAAGCUUGUCCAUCUGUUCACACCUCACUCUUACAGUAGGAGAAGGGGGAAUCUGAUCUUUACAGCUCGAAUUUCAGAGCUGUGUACAGAACAGAAGCAUGACAGAUGACAAAGAAGGGAACACAGUGAGACCAAAGAUGGAUAGAUAUGCCAGAUGGGAAACUUGGAAAAGAAGACACUGUGGCACUUAGAUGAAUCAAAAAGGAGACAAUCCAAAAUCUCCUUCCGUUCUUGAAGAGGUGUAGUGAUCAUGAUCAAACCAAAGCCCCAAAGUUUGGAUACAUGCAGGAAGAGGAAGAAAUGAUAUGUCCUCCAGUAUUUUCAAGAAGGAAGAAAGCUAUUAUUCUAUAAGCAAAACUACUUUUCUGCAUGGAAGUUUACAGCAAGCUCAACCCAAAGUUACAAUGUUUGAUUUGGAAAGUUCUUUAAUCUCACAUAUGAAGAAAUUAGGUGUGAUUGCGCAGUGGAGAGGGAAAGGUCAUUUACUUUUCUUUUAUGUUUUCAUAAUACAAAAAUCAGGCUCUGGAGCUAAACUUGGUGAAUCCUGGCUCAUAUUGUCCUGGGAGCAUUUAUCUCCUACUAAAGGGGCUCUUCUGCUAGUCCACUCUUCAGAAACUGUUGAUUCCUAGACUAAGUGGACAUAAUGUGGUAGAAUAAAAUCUGUUUUAUAGGAUGAUAAUAUGCUUCAGAGUGUUUGGGGAGUCACUUUCAUGUAUCAGUCUACAGUAGAUCUAGAACUAGCCCAAGUUUUAAUUAUCUGAGUCGCUUCCAGAGUCCAGUAUUAGGCCUCAUACCCUGAAUCUCUCAUAACUUGCAUCAUCUGGAGCUCUUUAUUCCUUUGACUGCUUGUUGAGCUUAUGCAGACUCCUUUCCCUUCUUAAUGCAAUUAAUAGUUAUAGUCAGUGUUCAUGUAUUUAACAUUUGGAACCUGGGCGUCCAGGUCAGAGACUAAAGGUCUCAGACAUGUUUGCAUCCUGAUACUUUUUUGAAAAGGUAACUGCGCAUUAUCCACAAAAUGUGCCUAAUUGACAAAUUUUGCAUGCAUUCAAUUCUGAAGGAAUCUAUGUGUCUGCUAAAGAAUGACUUCCGCUAAAGAAAAAUAUUUGAACUUUAGAGAAAAACUGUGAAAAGUGUAGGUCCUGUGUUUGACCCACAGCAGGGUAUCAAAGAGCUUAAGUGGGUCAUCACAAACUUGUCUCGCUAAUUUUAAAAGAACUCAAGUGUGACAAAUUGAGUCUGGAUCCAAUCUAUAAUAUUGAGGAGGAGGAGGAGGAGGUGUGGUUAUGGACUUGCAGAGUUCAGUAGAAAUAAGAGUUGCAGUCCACAGAGCUCCUACAUGUAUACAGAAGAACUUGCCUUUUGGUAGACUGCUCCAGGUUUCAGCCAUAUAGGCAAAAGUAUCCUAGUCCAAUAUUCCAAUUUAAGUCAGGAUCCUCGCAUAUAAAUGCUUAAAGCACACAACCUACCUAUAUUAGCUUGAUAUAACCAUAUUUUUCAUUCAUUUGCCAUGAACUCAGUGCCAGGAAGCCACAGUUAAUUAUAGCCUACCAUUAUAUGCAUACUAGGAAAUUGUGGUUAAUAGUUAACCGUGCUUAACUGUAGCUUCCAAACAAUCCGGAAUAUGAAGCCAUGGUUUGAUGUUGGCCUGUGUGGAAGGCAGUAAUCAUAGUUCCAAAUUCACUUGUAACAGGAAACUAUGGUUAACUGUGGCUUUCUGGUUUGUGGAAAAGGUGCAAGGAGCUUGUGCAUAUCUUGGCUUCUUAAACCAGGAUUUGAUUGUGUGAACCAGGUCACUUUCUUUUCCCUGGUGCUGCUUCCUAUUUUGGCCUCAAAUGUGGAACAGGGCAUGUGGGAAUUCUCCCAUCUGGCUGUGCCCUACAGCAUCUUAUGUUUCUUUUGUGUUGUGUAAGACUGUUGUAUUAGUUCAUGAAAGGAACCAGGACUGAGUUAAUGUAAAAUAGAAGAGUGAAUGUAAGAAGACUGAAUGAACUUACUCCAGUGAAAAAACCUGUGGAACUAUGCUAGAACAUUUUGUUGGGGACAGUCUGCUGGAACAUGGGCGGAUCAAAGACAUUUUUCUCUCCAGUCUAUAUAGGAAGUGCAAUUAACACAGAGAGAGGUACUGUAUUAACAUUUACUCAAAAUGAAUGAAAUAUAUUUUACUUGAAUGAAUGCCUGUCUUGGUUGGUGUUUCC